UACGUAGGGGCAAGCGUUGUCCGGAAUCAUUGGCGUAAGAGCGUGUAGGCGCUCGAUAAGUCUGCUGUGAAGUCCAGGCUCACCUGAGCGUGAACUGUCGCUAGAGUCGAGAGCGAGUGAUCUGUGUAGCGUGAAUGCGCAGAUAUCAGAGACACGAUGCGAGCAGUCUCUGCGACUACUGACGCUGAGAAGCGAAGCAUGGGAGCGACAGG
rnacentral:rRNA from 1 species